UUCAGGCGUUUGUAGGGAUGGUAGAUGACUCGGUGUUUUCUAAAAAAAUAUUUUUUUAGAAAACACCGAGUCAUCUACCACCCCUACAAACGCCUGAACCA
rnacentral:pre_miRNA from 1 species